rfam:Gossypium arboreum cultivar AKA8401 contig_459_9, whole genome shotgun sequence.
UGUUAAAAAUUUUAUAUAUUUCUACUGUUAAAAACUGAUGUAGUUGACAAAAUAACCAGACAGUUAUGCCAUGUGGAUCUUAUGCAGACAUAUAAAGAUCAAUUUUUAACAGUAAAGAUAGAAGGAAAUUUUAAUA